CUCCCUCGGCUCCCUCCCCUCCCCGUCCCCUCCGGCGGCGCUGGGCACAGGCCUCACCCUCUCCUCUUCCCGGCGGACGACGGUGGCGGCGCCGCCGAGCUCGCCAGAUCCGUCCUCGGAUGGCGGCGGCGCCGAGCUCGCUAGAUCUGCCUUCGGUCGGCAGCAAUGACGACGAUGGUAGUGGUCCAUCUUUCCUUCCUCCCUUCUCUCCGGCGAGCUCGGGUGGUGGCCUCGCCGGCGACGCCCGUCGCCCCCUUGCAUGGGGCCAUGCCCUCUUCGGCGAUGCUCUCCUCUCCCCGGCAGCGUCGGGCGGUGGAAGCGAGCGGGGUUUGGGGCGGUAGGACGACACGGCCCACGAGUGUGGGCCCCACCUGUGAAACAAAGGAGGAACGGGGAGCCAAAGUUGGCUCCACGGUCUUGGGCAAGCCGCGUGGAUUGCCGACGUGGGGACGAAUAUUCCGUUUCUAGGGGUGAGGCUGAAUGCCACAUGGGAGCAUUGUGAAUGGCCUAAGAGCAAGUUUAAUAGUAUAAUCAACUACUAACUCCAAAUCAUCUAUAUCCAAUGUAAUAGCCAAUUUAUACAAUAGUUGCUUGCUACACUAUUAAUAUCUGGUCCCACCUAUCAUACACAUAUUACGUCUUGGAGUCCGUGCUGCAGCUGGCUACAGAUAUGUAGCCCGCUUCUCUUCUCUCUCUUUUUUUAUCUCUUUAAAAUAUGUUUAUAGCUGGCUUAUAGUCUGCUAUUGUACCUGGCUUAUAACUACUGGCGAUCAAACACUAAAGCAAUCACUAUAAACAAAUAGACUAUAGUGAAUAAUGAUCAUGUAUGCUAAUUAGAAACUAACCAAGAAGUAAUUCUCACUAAGCAAAUCUUAAUUACUCAUAAUGAUAUUUCUAUUAAAGCAGAGUAAUUAACAAGAUACAAAAGUAGGAGGAGAUUACCGACAACUCCGGGAUUUCUCCGAUUUCUUCUACCUUACUCUCUCCCUAUUCUAAUAUACAAUAAAGUACACUAGAGCCUCUUGUAAUUCAGCUCAUGCUUUGGUGGUUCGUCACCCGCAUCCAAAUAUACACCAACACUUGUGUAAAUGGUUAGAAAUAAAUCCUACCACUACGUUGGAUGCUUUACUUUUAUGGUUUUAUGCAGGUAUUGACGGCGUUAAUUUGGUAUUUAACAGCCGUCAACAACGGGAUCUCUCCUAGAUAUUCGUUCGACAGCAUCUACCUCUCCUACGACGGCGUAAUUUGGCGUAAGUAAGUAUAUGUGGUAUUUUCACUCAAAGCAGUUUGGAAUAUAGGGUUUCCCCAAAAAAGGGAGCUUUUUUACUAUCAGUUUUUAUAAAUUUGUACAGUUUAAUAUCACAAUAUUUAUGGUUUUUAUAUUCUCCACGCGAAGUAUUUUAAUAGUAUAUAAUCCACAUGUUAUUAAACUAUAUAAAUUUCUAAAAUUGCUAGUCAAAAGAUAGAAAUUUCGACUUAUAACAAAGAAUGACGAUCGAUUUAAAACGCAAGUACUAAUUGUUGAGAAAAAAAUACUGCGGUAAACACACAGACACGCUAUUUCUACUAGCACAUUUGACAAUAUGGGCCAACAUAUCCCAUGAUCAACCACGUGUCAACGAGUACUCUACUUAUAACUAAAGAAUUAGUUAGCCGUAAAUAUAAACACCCACGUAAAUCUGAGGAGAACUGAGGAACUUAUCAUCCCUUAUUGAUAGAGAUACUAAGGAGUAAGGACUUCCGUUAUUGAUAAAGAAAAAAAUGGUGAGAAAAUAUACGCUCAAAGGGAUUCGAACUAAAUAGGCGUGCUGCUCCUAGCAGCUCCCUGCUAGUCAAGCUAGGCCCCGCUCUCAAAUCUAUGAGUUAAAACUUAAAUAGACUGACUUCACCAUAAAAAAACUAACAGAGUUAUGCUCUGUUCGCUGCAUUGUUAACUCAUCUUGGUUGGAAGACAUUUUUAGCUAAUGACAAAUAACAUACAAGUUAACGUCCGUGUAACUUUCAAAAGAUAAUUUGAGGAUAAUCUUUUAUACUUCUAAGUAACAAACUUAGUAUUUCAUAUUGGCACAUCCUAAUACUACGAAUUUGGACUAUCGUACUAGGUUAAUUAUAUUAUGGGACGGAGGGAGUAAGCCGCAGCUGAGUUGCUUCAGUGCAGGCGACCAGAAUGAUCCACAAGUCUACAGUAUCAUAUCAAAUCUGAAUUGUUGAGGACUCAUUUGGAUCACAUAAAUUUUACAGCAUUCUUUUAUAGGAUUUAGCCCAAUACCUCCAAAAUUACUUUGAAAUUCCUCCCUUUUUGCAGGCGUUUCGUCUUCUCGCUUUGAAAGCCUUGUUCAGCUUAGCUAAAAGAAAGUUUAGAAGAGCAUUGUGAAUCUAAACGGGGGAAUAAGCCUCAUAUCAUCUACUCCCUCCGUCCCAUAAUAUAAAGAAUUUUGAGUUUUUGCUUGUAUUGUUUGACCACUCGUCUUAUUCAAAAAUUUUUGAAAUUAUUAUUUAUUUUUUUAUGACUUACUUUAUUAUCCAAAAUACUUUAAGCAUAAUUUUUCUUUUUUUUUGUAUUUGUACAAAUUUUUUAAUAAGACAAGUGAUCAAACAGUGCAAGCAAAAACUCAAAAUCCAUUAUAGUAGGGGACGGAGGGAGUAUUUGGUAGCUUAUCAGCCACGACUGAAAUUUAAAUUUUAAAAUUGAUUUUAGGUUUUCUUAAUCAUAUUCCAUUUUUUACAUUAGCUUUUAAACCACUAACUAAUAACGGAGACAUACAGAAAAAAAUAUCCAUAAAUUAUUUCUACUGCUUAUUAGCCAUAGCUCAAAGCCUCAAACGAUCAACAUCUUGCUUUCUAAUGUGUAUCACUGUAUCCUAACAUCAGCAGCAACUCAGCAAUGAAAGACCUUUUGGCAAAAUUUGCUACAGGACACCGAAAGAUUGUGGCCUUUGUUGUGAGACACCCGAAGAUCGUGUAUUUGCUCGUGGACACUGUAAAAAGUGGUAAUUAGCUACUAGACACUCCUAUUAUUUUAUUAUUUUCGGUUGAAAUGGAGAGAGAAAGAGUUGUGUAAAUACCAAAAUAACCCUUUGACACUGUUCUUCCUCUCUCUCUCUUCUUUUCUUUUCCCCUUCUUCCUCGCAGUGGAGCAGAGGCGCGACGGCGGCCACAGCGGGGCGGCGGCGGCGGCGCAUCGCCGGGGUUCACCGCCGACAGUGACGACGCACGGCGGCAUCCCG
rnacentral:lncRNA from 1 species